rnacentral:rRNA from 1 species
UCUCUGAUGUUAGCGGCGGACGGGUGAGUAACACGUGGAUAACCUACCUAUAAGACUGGGAUAACUUCGGGAAACCGGAGCUAAUACCGGAUAAUAUUUUGAACCGCAUGGUUCAAAAGUAAAAGACGGUCUUGCUGUCACUUAUAGAUGGAUCCGCGCUGCAUUAGCUAGUUGGUAAGGUAACGGCUUACCAAGGCAACGAUGCAUAGCCGACCUGAGAGGGUGAUCGGCCACACUGGAACUGAGACACGGUCCAGACUCCUACGGGAGGCAGCAGUAGGGAAUCUUCCGCAAUGGGCGAAAGCCUGACGGAGCAACGCCGCGUGAGUGAUGAAGGUCUUCGGAUCGUAAAACUCUGUUAUUAGGGAAGAACAUAUGUGUAAGUAACUGUGCACAUCUUGACGGUACCUAAUCAGAAAGCCACGGCUAACUACGUGCCAGCAGCCGCGGUAAUACGUAGGUGGCAAGCGUUAUCCGGAAUUAUUGGGCGUAAAGCGCGCGUAGGCGGUUUUUUAAGUCUGAUGUGAAAGCCCACGGCUCAACCGUGGAGGGUCAUUGGAAACUGGAAAACUUGAGUGCAGAAGAGGAAAGUGGAAUUCCAUGUGUAGCGGUGAAAUGCGCAGAGAUAUGGAGGGACACCAGUGGCGAAGGCGACUUUCUGGUCUGUAACUGACGCUGAUGUGCGAAAGCGUGGGGAUCAAACAGGAUUAGAUACCCUGGUAGUCCACGCCGUAAACGAUGAGUGCUAAGUGUUAGGGGGUUUCCGCCCCUUAGUGCUGCAGCUAACGCAUUAAGCACUCCGCCUGGGGAGUACGACCGC